AGUCGAACGGCAGCACAGGAGAGCUUGCUCUCUGGGUGGCAAGUGGCGGACGGGCCAGGAUACAUCGGAAUCUACCUUUUCGUGGGGGAUAACGUAGGGAAACUUACACUAAUACCGCAUACGACCUACGGGUGAAAGUGGGGGACCGCAAGGCCUCACGCGAUUAGAUGAGCCGAUGUCCGAUUAGCGAGUUGGAGGGGUAAUGGCCCACCAAGGCGACGAUCGGUAGCUGGUCUGAGAGGAUGAGCAGCCACACUGGAACUGAGACACGGUCCAGACUCCUACGGGAGGCGGCAGUGGGGAAUAUUGGACAAUGGGCGCAAUCCUGAUCCAGCCAUACCGCGUGGGUGAACAACGCCUUCGGGUUGUAAAGCCCUUUUGUUGGGAAAGAAAUCCGUCGAUUAAUACCCGGUGGGGAUGACGGUACCCAAAGAAUAAGCACCGGCUAACUUCGUG
rnacentral:rRNA from 1 species